UACGUAGGGUGCGAGCGUUAAUCGGAAUUACUGGGCGUAAAGCGUGCGCAGGCGGUUCGUUGUGUCGGCGGUGAAAGCCCCGGGCUCAACCUGGGAAUGGCCGUUGAAACUGGCGAACUGGAGUGUGGCAGAGGGGGGUGGAAUUCCGCGUGUAGCAGUGAAAUGCGUAGAGAUGCGGAGGAACACCGAUGGCGAAGGCAGCCCCCCUGGGGCUGACACUGACGCUCAGGCACGAAAGCGUGGGGGAGCAAACAGG
rnacentral:rRNA from 1 species